ensembl:lncRNA
AUCUGUAUGACUUUCUGUCAUCUGUGGAACACACACAAAGAAAAAAAAAAAAACAUUAUUUUGAACUGUCACUUUAAGCUUCAUAUAAUAUUUGCUUUUUAUCUUUUAUCCUCAAAUGUCUGUUUGCUGUUCAGCAGAUUCUGAUCAAAUUUAUAACAACGUGACUGAAGUCAAUAAGAGAGACAAAGAUGAUCCAGAGCCCUUGGCAGAUGUCACAUAUUCGGAGGUCACUGUUAAGAAAAAGAUGGACAAAGGUAAUGCUAAGGCAGAGUCCAAUAAUGUGACAUACUCAGAAGUCGGAAAAAGAGGAAAGAAAUGCAAAAGUAAAGAUAUUAAUCCUGCAGGACCCAGUGAUUUGACUUACGCACAGAUCAAUAUACAGGACAAGAAGAAAACCAAAGGCAAAGGUCCCUGAGUGCAGAGAAGACACCAGACGGCUAAAAGAGAUUCACAGCAGCAGACACAGUAACACUUGCAUUGCUUAAGAAAUGAAUCUGAGUGAACUACUUAUGCACAUACUUUAUUAUAAUACUAUACAGAUAUUAUCAUAUUAUCUGUACACAUUAUGUAGGCAAACAGAUCUAUCUAUAUUAUAUAUUAAAUCAUUUUUCAUUUGUGCACUUUUGUUUAACAGCUUUAAGUGAAACUGCCCUUCAAGUUAUUACAUUAUUACAUGAUUCGACUGGAGCUGUACAGCAAUUAAACAGUAAUUGGUCACUCGUCUGAUAGUUAAAUAUAACAUGUUCUUUGUCUUAUAAAAUAAUGCCUGUGUUUUUACCAAAACUGAGGCUAAGAUGAUUGUUCUUGCAUACACAGUAUAUUCAUAAAU